rnacentral:rRNA from 1 species
AGGGCGCAAGCGUUGUCCGGAAUUAUUGGGCGUAAAGAGCUCGUAGGCGGCAUGUCACGUCUGCUGUGAAAUCCCAACGCUUAACGUUGGGCGUGCAGUGGGUACGGGCAGGCUAGAGUGCGGUAGGGGUGACUGGAAUUCCUGGUGUAGCGGUGGAAUGCGCAGAUAUCAGGAGGAACACCGAUGGCGAAGGCAGGUCACUGGGCCGCAACUGACGCUGAGGAGCGAAAGCAUGGGGAGCGA